AGGCCAGACUCCUACGGGAGGCAGCAGUGAGGAAUAUUGGUCAAUGGGCGCGAGCCUGAACCAGCCAAGUCGCGUGAGGGAGGACGGCCCUACGGGUUGUAAACCUCUUUUGCCGGGGAGCAACGGGCGCCACGUGUGGCGCCACUGAGAGUACCCGGAGAAAAAGCAUCGGCUAACUCCGUGCCAGCAGCCGCGGUAAUACGGAGGAUGCGAGCGUUAUCCGGAUUUAUUGGGUUUAAAGGGUGCGUAGGCGGAAUGCCAAGUCGGCGGUAAAAUCGCGGGGCUCAACCUCGCUCCGCCGUUGAAACUGGCGUUCUUGAGUGGGCGAGAAGUAUGCGGAAUGCGUGGUGUAGCGGUGAAAUGCAUAGAUAUCACGCAGAACUCCGAUUGCGAAGGCAGCAUACCGGCGCCCAACUGACGCUGAAGCACGAAAGCGUGGGGAUCGAACAGGAUUAGAUACCCUUGUAC
rnacentral:rRNA from 1 species